GGUAUGAUGUUACAAAAUAUUUGCUACUUCAGAGGGCUCGCCCAAUGAGACUAUCCAAAUCACCAAGAUCUCUGACC
rnacentral:snoRNA from 1 species